rnacentral:rRNA from 1 species
UACAGAGGUCUCGAGCGUUAGGCGGAAUCACUGGGCUUAAAGCGUGUGUAGGCGGAUGCCUAAGUACCUUGUGAAAAUCCCACGGCUUAACCGUGGAACUGCUUGGUAUACUGGGUGUCUUGAGCCACUCAGGGGCGAGCGGAACAAAUGGUGGAGCGGUGAAAUGCGUAGGAUAUCAUUUGGAACGCCAAUGGUGAAAACAGCUCGCUGGGGGGUGUGCUGACGCUGAGACACGAAAGCCAGGGGAGCGAACGGGG